UACGUAGGUGGCAAGCGUUGUCCGGAGUUAUUGGGCGUAAAGCGCGCGCAGGCGGUGCGGUAAGUCUCUGGUGAAAGCGCUCGGCUUAACUGGGCGAGGGCCGGGGAGACUGCCACGCUGGAGGGGAGCAGAGGCGAGUGGAAUUCCGGGUGUAGUGGUGAAAUGCGUAGAGAUCGGGAGGAACACCUGUGGCGAAGGCGGCCAGCUGGGCCGGACCUGACGCUGAGACGCGAAGGCGUGGGGAGCGAACGGG
rnacentral:rRNA from 1 species